GACGAACGCUGGCGGCGUGCUUAACACAUGCAAGUCGAGCGAUGAAUUUUCUUCGGAAAUGGAUUAGCGGCGAACGGGUGAGGAACACGUGAAGAAUCUGCCCUCCACUUUGGGAUAACACAGGGAAACCUGUGCUAAUACCGAAUAUUGAAACAUAAGUGGCAUCACUGAGUUUUGAAAGAAUUUCGGUGGAGGAUGACUUCGCGGCCUAUCAGCUAGUUGGUGAGGUAAUGGCUCACCAAGGCAACGACGGGUAGCCGGCCUGAGAGGGCGACCGGCCACACUGGGACUGAGACACGGCCCAGACGCCUACGGGAGGCAGCAGUGGGGAAUAUUGGGCAAUGGAGGAAACUCUGACCCAGCGACGCCGCGCGCGGGAUGAAGGCCUUCGGGUUGUAAACCGCUUUCAGUAGGGAAGAAGCGAAAGUGACGGUACCUACAAAAGAAGCACCGGCUAACUAUGUGCCAGCCGCCGCCGUAA
rnacentral:rRNA from 1 species